AGAGUUUGAUCAUGGCUCAGAAUCAACGCUGGCGGCGUGCCUAACACAUGCAAGUCGAGCGAGAAAGGGUAGCAAUACCUGAGUAAAGCGGCGCACGGGUGAGUAACACGUGACUAACCUACCCUCGAGUGGGGAAUAACUUCGGGAAACCGAGGCUAAUACCGCAUAAUACCCACGGGUCAAAGGAGCAAUCCGCUUGAGGAGGGGGUCGCGGCCGAUUAGUUAGUUGGCGGGGUAAUGGCCCACCAAGACGAUGAUCGGUAUCCGGCCUGAGAGGGCGCACGGACACACUGGAACUGACACACGGUCCAGACUCCUACGGGAGGCAGCAGUGGGGAAUUUUGCGCAAUGGGGGAAACCCUGACGCAGCAACGCCGCGUGGAGGAUGAAGUCCUUCGGGACGUAAACUCCUUUCGAUCGGGACGAUUAUGACGGUACCGGAAGAAGAAGCCCCGGCUUACUUCGUGCCGGCAGCCGCGGUAAUACGAGGGGGGCGAACCGUUGCUCGGAAUUAUUGGGCGUUAAAGGGCGCUUAGGCCGGGUUGGGAAGGCUUUUGUU
rnacentral:rRNA from 1 species